AUUGAACGCUGGCGGCAGGCCUAACACAUGCAAGUCGAGCGGAUGAGAAGAGCUUGCUCUUCGAUUCAGCGGCGGACGGGUGAGUAAUGCCUAGGAAUCUGCCUGGUAGUGGGGGACAACGUUUCGAAAGGAACGCUAAUACCGCAUACGUCCUACGGGAGAAAGCAGGGGACCUUCGGGCCUUGCGCUAUCAGAUGAGCCUAGGUCGGAUUAGCUAGUUGGUGGGGUAAUGGCUCACCAAGGCGACGAUCCGUAACUGGUCUGAGAGGAUGAUCAGUCACACUGGAACUGAGACACGGUCCAGACUCCUACGGGAGGCAGCAGUGGGGAAUAUUGGACAAUGGGCGAAAGCCUGAUCCAGCCAUGCCGCGUGUGUGAAGAAGGUCUUCGGAUUGUAAAGCACUUUAAGUUGGGAGGAAGGGCAUUAACCUAAUACGUUAGUGUUUUGACGUUACCGACAGAAUAAGCACCGGCUAACUCUGUGCCAGCCGCCGCCGUAACAC
rnacentral:rRNA from 1 species